CCUACGGGAGGCAGCAGUGGGGAAUAUUGGACAAUGGGCGAAAGCCUGAUCCAGCCAUGCCGCGUGUGUGAAGAAGGCCUUCGGGUUGUAAAGCACUUUCAGUGGGGAAGAAAGCCUUGGGGCUAAUACCCUCGAGGAAGGACAUCACCCACAGAAGAAGCACCGGCUAACUCCGUGCCAGCAGCCGCGGUAAUACGGAGGGUGCGAGCGUUAAUCGGAAUUACUGGGCGUAAAGCGCGCGUAGGCGGUCUGAUAAGCCGGUUGUGAAAGCCCCGGGCUCAACCUGGGAACGGCAUCCGGAACUGUCAGGCUAGAGUGCAGGAGAGGAAGGUAGAAUUCCCGGUGUAGCGGUGAAAUGCGUAGAGAUCGGGAGGAAUACCAGUGGCGAAGGCGGCCUUCUGGACUGACACUGACGCUGAGGUGCGAAAGCGUGGGUAGCAAACAGGAUUAGAACCCUUGUAGUC
rnacentral:rRNA from 1 species